rnacentral:rRNA from 1 species
GAAACCUUUUUUCGGAGAGUUUGAUCCUGGCUCAGGACAAAACGCUGGCGGAAUGUAUUAGGCAUGCAAGUCGCACGAACCUUCGGGUUAGUGGCGGACGGGUGAGUAACACGUGGGUAACCUGCCUCGUAGUGGGGAAUAACUCGCCGAAAGGCGAGCUAAUACCGCAUAUAACUCCUGGUGAGAAUCCGGGAAGUAAAAGCUCCGGCGCUACGAGAGGGGCCCGCGGCCGAUUAGCUUGUUGGUGGGGUAAUGGCCUACCAAGGCGACGAUCGGUAGCUGGUCUGAGAGGAUGGUCAGCCACACGGGGACUGAGAUACGGCCCCGACUCCUACGGGAGGCAGCAGCUAAGAAUCUUGCGCAAUGGGCGAAAGCCUGACGCAGCAAUUCCGCGUGGAGGACGAAGGCCCUCGGGUCGUAAACUCCUUUUGCGAGGGAGAAGUUCUGACGGUACCUCGCGAAUAAGCCACGGCUAACUACGUGCCAGCAGCCGCGGUAAUACGUAGGUGGCGAGCGUUGUCCGGAUUUAUUGGGUCGUAAGAGCCGCAGGCGG